AUUGAACGCUGGCGGCAGGCCUAACACAUGCAAGUCGAGCGGAUGAAGGGAGCUUGCUCCUGGAUUCAGCGGCGGACGGGUGAGUAAUGCCUAGGAAUCUGCCUGGUAGUGGGGGAUAACGUCCGGAAACGGGCGCUAAUACCGCAUACGUCCUGAGGGAGAAAGUGGGGGAUCUUCGGACCUCACGCUAUCAGAUGAGCCUAGGUCGGAUUAGCUAGUUGGUGGGGUAAAGGCCUACCAAGGCGACGAUCCGUAACUGGUCUGAGAGGAUGAUCAGUCACCCUGAACCUGGGACCCGUUCCGAACUCCUAGGGGAGGCAGAGGUGGGGAUUAUUGGCCAUGGGGCGAAGGCCUGUUCCAGCCAGGCCGCGGGUGUGAAGAAGGUCUCCGAUUUGUAAGGCCUUUUAGGUGGGGGGAAAGGCAGGUAGGUUAAUCCCUUCCUGUUUGACGUUACCAACAGAAUAAGCACCGGCUAACUUCGUG
rnacentral:rRNA from 1 species